rnacentral:lncRNA from 1 species
AGUUGGAUUACCACCUCCACGCACACCACCUAAAGGACAUUUACGACGAUAUUAUCCUAUUUGCAAGCAUAUACCACAUUUACGCAUAACAUCCAUUUGGUUCCGUAUACACGUUCUCUUUUGCACUUGCAGCUUGCGCAAAUAGUCCUUGUUACAUACCAUCUUAAAGGUUCUGGCGGCCAAUAACACUCAGCACCUAAUGGCUGCAAUUGCCCACUAUACAUGUCUACGUAUACAUCAACACUGUAUUGCCUAUCAAUAUAGUUGGCUGCCCCAUAUCCAACUUGUUGAAAUCACUUCAACGCAUGUGCGCACGGUAUAUGAUAGAUGGUCUAUUUCCCACAUGAACAAAACCAUCUAUUUCAUUCACCGUCUGUAGAUUAUUCCCAUGGUGUCCGCGGAUAGCGGUCUUAACUUCAAAAACACCCAGGUCAUGAUCGUACUGAAAAAAUAAAUGGCACUGUGCUCGCCUCAUGGACCUUUAAAAUCUUCUCAUGGGUAUUGGCAUAAAUUGAACAUCCUUAUCUUUCAAUGCCGAUGCAGAUGCAUUCCUUUCAAUAAACCUCUCCACACUCUGUUUGAAUGUCAUGGGGACCAUGGCAGUCCACGAGCAGACUUCAACAAGCCGUUGAAUGACUCCGACACGUUUGUAGUGAGGGCUCCCCGUCGUCUUCCGACAUCAGCAUGCAAUGUCCAAAUGUGAAGCUCAUGAACCAUCAACCAAGUAUAGGCUCGUGGUUCUAAAUGCCAUAUCGCUUCCAUGCACCUCGUGAAUUUGCACUGUUGAUGCUCAAUUGCAACCAUCCACAUUAAGUCAUGCAAGGCCUUGUCAGGAUAUUUCUUAUCGAAAUUGGCCUUCAGGUGCCGCACACAAUAACAUUGGUAUGCAUAUGGUUCCUGCCAUUCAGUCAAGUGACAUACAGAACUUAAAAUACUACCAUACCGAUCAGAUAUUAGACAAAUACCUGAACGCUGUUUGACAACGUGCUGCUUCAAGUGGUUCAAAAAAAGCGUCCAUAUUUCUUCGCAUUCAUUGGGACAUAUGGAAAAAGCUAAUGGAAAUAUUUUCCCAUUCGCAUCUACAACAACUGCAAUCAAAAGCUUAAUAUCAUACUUUCAUAGACAUGAGUACCGUCUAUGGAAAUAACAGGGCGUCCACGUCUCUUCACUUUAGUUGGCACAUAUGGCAAAAUCUAGUGGAAAUAUUUAUCUGUU